rnacentral:rRNA from 1 species
AGCGAACGCUGGCGGCAGGCCUAACACAUGCAAGUCGAACGAACCUUUCGGGGUUAGUGGCGGACGGGUGCGUAACACGUGGGAACGUGCCUUUAGGUUCGGAAUAACUCAGGGAAACUUGUGCUAAUACCGAAUGUGCCCUUCGGGGGAAAGAUUUAUCGCCUUUAGAGCGGCCCGCGUCUGAUUAGCUAGUUGGUUGAGGUAAUGGCUCACCAAGGCGACGAUCAGUAGCUGGUCUGAGAGGAUGAUCAGCCACAUUGGGACUGAGACACGGCCCAAACUCCUACGGGAGGCAGCAGUGGGGAAUCUUGCGCAAUGGGCGAAAGCCUGACGCAGCCAUGCCGCGUGAAUGAUGAAGGUCUUAGGAUUGUAAAAUUCUUUCACCGGGGACGAUAAUGACGGUACCCGGAGAAGAAGCCCCGGCUAACUUCGU